rnacentral:lncRNA from 1 species
GGAAAAUUUAGUGCAGGGGUAAAAUGAUAAUUUUAAAACUUUUUCAAAAUUACUAUUUUACAGUAAAAAUUAUUAAUUAAUCUAAUUAAUUAAUAAAAAUUUAUCCUAUACUAAGAUCUAAAUAUGAUAUAUAGCAUGCAUUCAUUUAAAUUUGAAAUUCAAAUUCAAACAGUAAACACUUUACUGUAAUGUGUUCAGAACACAAUACCUUUGUGCGGGUAGUAGAUCGCCGCAAUCUGAUC